rnacentral:rRNA from 1 species
UACGUAGGGGGCAAGCGUUGUCCGGAUUUAUUGGGCGUAAAGAGCGUGUAGGCGGUCUGGUAGGUCCGUUGUGAAAACUCGAGGCUCAACCUCGAGACGCCGAUGGAAACCAUCAGAAUAGAGUCCGGAAGAGGAGAGUGGAAUUCCUGGUGUAGCGGUGAAAUGCGCAGAUAUCAGGAAGAACACCCGUGGCUAAGGCGGCUCUCUAGUACGGUACUGACGCUGAGACGCGAAAGCGUGGGGAGCGAACAGG